rnacentral:lncRNA from 1 species
AGUUCAAGCGUAGGUAUGGAGAGAAGAAGGAAGAGGAGCCCGAAAAUAAGUGAAUUCAUUGAGGUCCUACUUAUUUUGGUUUAUUACAUUCAGCACCCAUUAUUUAUUCUAAUUCUUUAAAAAAAAAAAAGUCUUUAUAAUAUGUUGUUAGCAAACUACAGCAAACCUCGCCAUUAAGGGGAUAGUGUGCUAAAAAAAAUGUAUUAUAUGGACAUUUUUGCUAAUAUUAAUAAUAUGAGGAG